AUACUACUCUCUCCGUCCGAAAAUACUUGUCAUCAAAAUGGAUUAAAAUGGAUGCAUCUAGAACUAAAAUACAUCUAGAUACAUCCAUUUCAAUGACAAGUAUUUUCGGACGGAGGGAGUACAUG
rnacentral:pre_miRNA from 1 species